CCAAUAGCGUAUAUUAAAGUUGUUGCAGUUAAAAAGCUCGUAGUUGAAUUUCGGGAUCAAUACAUCGGUCGUGCCUUGGUACGUACUGGUGUCAUUGGUUUCUCCUUUCUGACGAACCAUGAUGUCAUUAAUUUGGUGUUAUGGGAAGUUAGGACUGUUACUUUGAAAAAAUUAGAGUGUUUAAAGCAGGCUUUAGCUUGAAUACAUUAGCAUGGAAUAA
rnacentral:rRNA from 1 species